GCCCAGACUCCUACGGGAGGCAGCAGUGGGGAAUAUUGCACAAUGGGGGAAACCCUGAUGCAGCGACGCCGCGUGAGUGAAGAAGUAUUUCGGUAUGUAAAGCUCUAUCAGCAGGAAAGAAAAUGACGGUACCUGACUAAGAAGCCCCGGCUAACUACGUGCCAGCAGCCGCGGUAAUACGUAGGGGGCAAGCGUUAUCCGGAUUUACUGGGUGUAAAGGGGGCGCAGACGGCGAUGCAAGCCAGGAGUGAAAGCCCGGGGCCCAACCCCGGGACUGCUCUUGGAACCGGGUGGCUGGAGUGCAGGAGAGGCAGGCGGAAUUCCUGGUGUAGCGGUGAAAUGCGUAGAUAUCAGGAGGAACACCAGUGGCGAAGGCGGCCUACUGGACUGCAACUGACGUUGAGGCCCGAAAGCGUGGGGAGCAAACAGGAUUAGAUACCCCAGUAA
rnacentral:rRNA from 1 species